AGUAAAGUCGUAACAAGGUUUCGUAGGUGAACCUGCGGAAGGAUCAUUA
rnacentral:rRNA from 1 species